GGAAUUUUGCGCAAUGGGCGAAAGCCUGACGCAGCAACGCCGCGUGAGGGAUGAAGGCUCUUGGGUCGUAAACCUCUUUUGCCGGGGAAGAUAAUGACGGUACCCGGCGAAUAAGCCACGGCUAACUACGUGCCAGCAGCCGCGGUAAUACGUAGGUGGCAAGCGUUGUUCGGAUUUACUGGGCGUAAAGGGCGCGUAGGCGGCCACCGCAAGUCGACUGUGAAAUCUCCGGGCUUAACCCGGAAAGGUCAGCCGAUACUGCGGGGCUAGAGUGCAGAAGGGGCAACUGGAAUUCUCGGUGUAGCGGUGAAAUGCGUAGAUAUCGAGAGGAACACCUGCGGCGAAGGCGGGUUGCUGGGCUGACACUGACGCUGAGGCGCGAAAGCUAGGGGAGCGAA
rnacentral:rRNA from 1 species